rnacentral:rRNA from 1 species
AUUGAACGCUGGCGGCGUGCUUAACACAUGCAAGUCGAUCGGUAACGCGGGGGCAACCCUGGCGACGAGAGGCGGACGGGUGAGGAACGCUUGGGAAUCUGCCCUUCAGCGGGGGACAACCCGGGGAAACCCGGGCUAAUACCGCAUACGCUCCACGGAGGAAAGCCGGGGACCGCAAGGCCUGGCACUGAAGGAUGAGCCCAAGUCGGAUUAGCUAGUUGGCGGGGUAACGGCCCACCAAGGCGACGAUCCGUAGCUGGUCUGAGAGGACGAUCAGCCACACUGGGACUGAGACACGGCCCAGACUCCUACGGGAGGCAGCAGUGGGGAAUAUUGGACAAUGGGGGAAACCCUGAUCCAGCGACGCCGCGUGGGUGAAGAGGGCCUGCGGGUUGUAAAGCCCUUUCGGUAGGGACGAAAGCUCUCGACCUAACACGUCGGGAGGAUGACUUAACCUACAAAAGAAGCACCGGCUAACUCUGUGCCAGCCGCCGCGGUAACAC